rnacentral:tRNA from 1 species
GUGGACAUAGUUUAACCAAAACACUAGAUUGUGAUUCCAGAAACAGGGGCUAGCAUCCCCUUGUCUACC